UGCAUCUAUCAACUUCAACCUUCUUCGCUCACCAGCACUGAAUCAAGGGAUGCCAUAGAACAACACAUGCCUAGUUCACUUGUUCUGGGAACUGGGAGUAUUUGAGGCAAUA